CCACAUAUACAGCCAGGUGAAAACCACCUGUCUCUCUCUCCACAUAUACAGCCAGGUUAAAACCACCUGUCUCUCUCUCCACAUAUACAGCCAGUUAAAACCACCUGUCCUCCUCUUCACAUAUACAGCCAGGUUAAAACCACCUGUCUCCUCUCUCCAAAUAUACAGCCAGGUUAAAACCACCUGUCUCCUCUCUCCACAUAUACAGCCAGGUUAAACCACCUGUCUCCUCUCUCCACAUAUACAGCCAGGUUAAAACCACCUGUCUCCUCUCUCCACAUAUACAGCCAGGUUAAACCACCUGUCUCCUCUCUCCACAUAUACAGCCAGGUUAAACCACCGUCUCCUCUCUCCACAUAUACAGCAGGUUUAAACCACCGUCUCCUCUCUCCACAUAUACAGCCAGGUUAAAACCACCUGUCUCCUCUCUCCACAUAUACAGCCAGGUUAAAACCACCUGUCUCCUCUCUUCCACAAUAUACAGCCAGGUUAAACCACCUGUCUCCUCUCUCCACAUAUACAGCCAGGUUAAAACCACCUGUCUCCUCUCUCACAUAUACAGCCAGGUUAAAACCACCUGUCUCCUCUCUCACAUUACAGCCAGGUUAAAACCACCUGUCUCCUCUUCCACAAUAUACAGCCAGGUUAAAACCACCUGUCUCCUCUCUCCACAUAUACAGCCAGGUUAAAACCACCUGUUCCUCUCUCCACAUAUACAGCCAGGUUAAACCACCUGUCUCCCUCUCACAUACAGCCGGUUAAAACCACCUGUCUCCUCUCUCCCACAUAUACAGCCAGGUUAAAACCACCUGUUCCUCUCUCCACAUAUACAGCCAGGUUAAACCACCUGUCUCCUCUCUCCACAUAUACAGCCAGGUUAAAACCACCUGUCUCUCUCUCUCCACAUAUACAGCCAGGUUAAAACCACCUGUCUCCUCUCUCCACUAUACAGCCAGGUUAAAACCACCUGUCUCCUCUCUCCAAUAUACAGCCAGUUAAAACCACCUGUCUCCUCUCUCCACAUAUACAGCCAGGUUUAAAACCACCUGUUUCCUCUCUCCACAUAUACAGCCAGGUUAAAACCACCUGUCUCCUCUCUCCACAUAUCAGCCAGGUUAAACACCUGUCUCCUCUCCACAUAUACAGCCAGGUUAAACCACCUGUCUCCUCUCUCCACAUAUACAGCCAGGUUAAAACCACGCUGUCCUCCUCUCUCCCACAUAUACAGCCAGGUUUAAACCACCGGUCUCCACUCUCCACAUAUACAGCCAGGUUAAAACCACCGGUCUCCUCUCUCCCACAUACAGCCAGGUUAAAACACCGGUCUCCACUCUCCACAUAUACAGCCCAGGUUUACCACCGGUCUCCACUCUCCACAUAUACAGCCAGGUUAAAACCUCCUGUCUCCUCUCUCCACUAUACAGCCAGGUUAAAACCACCUGUCUCCUCUCUCCACAUAUACAGCCAGGUUUAAACCACCGGUCUCCACUCUCCACAUAUACAGCCAGGUUAAAACCACCGGUCUCCUCUCUCCACAUAUACAGCCCGGUUUAAACCACCGGUCUCCACUCUCCACAUAUACAGCCAGGUUAAAACCACCUGUCUCCUCUCUCCACAUAUACGCCAGGUUUAA
ensembl:lncRNA